CAUUCAGUAGCCUCGCUAGGCUUUGCUGCUAUCUAUACCCAUGUCUUUUUGCGUACCUUCGUUUCCUCGGCGGGCUUCGCCUGCCGAUUGGACAAACUAUAAACCAUUUUGAAGUCUGCAAUCAGCGUCUGAAUAUAAACUAAUAGUUA
rnacentral:misc_RNA from 1 species